GACGUAGGAGGCGAGCGUUGUCCGGAUUCAUUGGGCGUAAAGAGCGCGCAGGCGGCUUGGUAAGUCGGAUGUGAAAUCCCGAGGCUCAACCUCGGUCUGCAUCCGAUACUGCCCGGCUAGAGGUAGGUAGGGAGAGUCGGAAUUCCGGUGUGAGCGGUGAAAUGACGCAGAUAAUCAGGAGGAACACCGGUGGCGAAGGCGGAUCUCUGGGCCUUACCUGACGCUCAGGCGACGAAAGCUAGGGGAGCGAACUGG
rnacentral:rRNA from 1 species